GGACGAACGCUGGCGGCGUGCUUAACACAUGCAAGUCGAACGGAAAGGCCUCUUUCGGGGGGUACUCGAGUGGCGAACGGGUGAGUAACACGUGAGUAACCUGCCCUUGACUUUGGGAUAACUUCAGGAAACUGGGGCUAAUACCGGAUAGGAGCUCCUGCUGCAUGGUGGGGGUUGGAAAGUUUCGGCGGUUGGGGAUGGACUCGCGGCUUAUCAGCUUGUUGGUGGGGUAGUGGCUUACCAAGGCUUUGACGGGUAGCCGGCCUGAGAGGGUGACCGGCCACAUUGGGACUGAGAUACGGCCCAGACUCCUACGGGAGGCAGCAGUGGGGAAGAUUGCACAAUGGGUGGAAGCCUGAUGCAGCAACGCCGUGUGCGGGAUGACGGCCUUCGGGUUGUAAACCGCUUUCGCUCAUGACGAAGCUUUGUGUGACGGUAGUGGGUAAAGAAGCACCGGCUAACUACGUG
rnacentral:rRNA from 1 species